rnacentral:rRNA from 1 species
AAUGAACGUGGGCGGCGUGGAUUAGGCAUGCAAGUCGAGCGAGAAGCCUCCUUCGGGAGGUGGAAAGCGGCGAAAGGGUGAGGAACACGUGGAUUACCUACCCUCGGGUCCGGGAUAGCUGCGGGAAACUGCAGGUAAUACCGGAUAACAUCUCUGGAUCAAAGGUGUGAUUCCGCCCGAGGAUGGGUCCGCGUCCUAUUAGCUUGUUGGUGGGGUAAUGGCCUACCAAGGCUGCGAUGGGUAGCGGGCGUGAGAGCGUGGCCCGCCACACUGGGACUGAGACACUGCCCAGACACCUACGGGUGGCUGCAGUCGAGAAUCUUCGGCAAUGGACGCAAGUCUGACCGAGCGACGCCGCGUGCGGGAUGAAGGCCUUCGGGUUGUAAACCGCUGUCAGAGGGGAGGAAAUCCCUUGGGGCUAUCCCCUUGGGUUGACCUAUCCUCAGAGGAAGUCCGGGCUAAGUUCGUGCCAGCAGCCGCGGUAAUACGAACCGGACAAACGUUAUUCGGAAUCACUGGGCUUAAAGGGUGCGUAGGCGGCGCGGCAAGUUGGAUGUGAAAUCCCUCGGCUCAACCGAGGAACUGCGUCCAAAACUG